CCUUGGUUACAUUUUAAUUGUCGCAUUUGUAGUAAAAAUGUGUUUUCAUUUCUUUGCCAUUUUUAAAGUUCAAUGUGUAUGUAAAUAACUUUUAUUUGACGGUUAAAAAGGAGCCGAGAGAGUAAUAUUAAUUUUUUUGGAUACUUAAUUUUAUUGCUGAUUUUUAAUUCAUCAUAUGCCUAAUGCUAUAUAUAGUCUUUCUUAGUUAGGUAAUCAAUUGUAUUUAGACAACAUAUAGUCUUCUUCCACUUUUAUUUGUUUCUUUCUCAUCUAUUUUGCCAUAGAAGAAACUAGAAUAGAUGGGUCUUCAUGUUCUCUUAUUCAUACUUUUUCUCUUGAGAUUUAUCUACAUUGAAAUUGUUCACAUUGACGAUUGCAACAUAUUCAUGAAUUGCUACUGUGAAAAUAAGUCAAUUUUAAUUUUUAAGCAUUUUAUUUGUGUCUGUGUAUGUGACCAACUAUAGUUGUAAAAUUAUCUCUUGGUUUUCUUUUUUGGUGUCUAUUAUUUUUCAAUUUUAAUACAGGUUUUAAAUUUUUUCGGUAAAUUAAUAUUUUUGAGAUCCCGUUGCUUUCAGCUGAAUAUGCAUUUGAGGUCAUUUCAUGUUCUGAAUUAUAUUUUUCUGUGAAGAGUAAUUAACUUUGAGCAUAUUAUAUAAUUGAAAUUGGAAGGAUUAUGUCCAUAAGAUAUCAGCUCAUUGUUAAGAGUACGACCUUGUGGCAGAGUUCAAAUUCUCUUGGAGACGGUUGUAAAAUGAUCAGUGUCAUCUUAAUUAAUUAUAAUUUUAAAUCGGACGAAUUACCUGUUUGAUGUCGAAGUGUGUCUUCGUUUAUUGUUUGUAGAUUUUGCUUUAACGGUCCCUUCUGAGUUGGAAUCGGUUUUGAGGUUGAAGACUGUUAACUACUUUGUUACAAGGAGGCCAUGGCUUGAUCUUUAUGGGGUUAAUGUGAGACCUGUUGCGCCAUUUGGUAGUGCAAGUAGAAAGCCUCAUGUUGAUUCUUCUCUUUUACACCGUUGCUUACCAGAUGAGCUGCUCUUUGAGGUAUUUGCUCGAAUGACUCCAUAUGAUAUGGGAAAAGCCUCUUGUGUGAGUUGAAAAUGGCGGUAUACAAUUCGUAACCCUGUACUUUGGCGCAAUGCAUGCUUGAAGGGUUGGCAGCUCUCUGAAGCGGUUGAAAACUAUAAGAUACUUCAAUCAAAAUACGACGGCUCAUGGCGGAAAAUGUGGCUCUUACGGCCAAGGUUGCGAUUUGAUGCACUUCCCCAAUAUGAUCUCGAUCAAUGUCAUUCCCGACACACAAGAGAGCAUUACAUUGCAGGAUUGGAAUACCGCCAAAAAAUAUGACUGCAAACUUAUCACUUUAAAUAGGGGUCCGAAUGAAAAAUAUUUAGAGGAAGAUUGGAACAAAUUUCUGAAGGAUAGUAAAUUGCGUCAAGGGGAUAGUUUGGUCUUUGAUCUUGAGGAUCCUCCUAACUCACUAUUUGUUGAGAUUGUUCGCCAGAAAGGUCGUCAUUAGACUUGCAAGCAUAUCAUAUAAGGUUCCUCUUCAUGUGUUUUAUUUUGUUGUAAAUACCUGUUAUGCCUCAGACAAUGGCAUUGUGUUUUGAGUUUUUCUCCCAUGAUACUCCUAAUUCCUAUGUUCCUAUAAGUUGUGUGCUUUAAUAUUGUUCCUAUGAUCUGCAUUACUUGGAUCUUAAGACAUUGUGUGAUGUGUUAUCUAAAUCAAUUACAUUUGUUUCUUAUAUCU